rnacentral:sRNA from 1 species
AUGAACUGCCAAAGACAGCAGGUGCUGAAAAGCGUAAGGAUAAAACGCCUGCCGAGGAAAGAAUCGUUAUGAACUUAUUCAUGUACGUUAUCCGGUCUUUGCAGACCGGAUUUUUUAUUUC